rnacentral:rRNA from 1 species
CACGUAGUUAGCCGGAGCUUAUUCUACAGGUACUGUCAUUAUCUUCCCUGUCUAAAGCGGUUUACAAUCCGAAAACCUUCUUCCUGCACGCGGCGUCACUGCGUCAGAGUUUCCUCCAUUGCGCAAUAUUCCCGACUGCUGCCUCCCGUAGGAGUCUGGGCCGUAUCUCAGUCCCAAUGUGGCCGUUCAACCUCUCAGUCCGGCUACUGAUCGUCGACUUGGUAGGCCGUUACCCCACCAACUAUCUAAUCAGACGCAAGCCCAUCUAUCAGCGGAUUGCUCCUUUCCCAUUUAUAUCAUGUGAUAUUCAUGGCAUAUGCGGUAUUAGCAGUCAUUUCUAACUGUUGUUCCCCUCUGAUAGGCAGGUUGCUUACGUGUUACUCACCAGUCCGCCACUAACCGCUCCAAUAGUAAACUAAUGGUUAAUCCGUUCGACUUGCAUGUCUUAUGUGCGCCGCCAGCGUUUUAUCCUGAGCCAGGAUCAAACU